rnacentral:rRNA from 1 species
GACGAACGCUGGCGGCGUGCCUAAUACAUGCAAGUAGAACGCUGAAACUUGGUGCUUGCACCGAGCGGAUGAGUUGCGAACGGGUGAGUAACGCGUAGGUAACCUGCCUGGUAGCGGGGGAUAACUAUUUGAAACGAUAGCUAAUACCGCAUAAGAGUAGAUGUUGCAUGACAUUUGCUUAAAAGGUGCAAUUGCACCACUACCAGAUGGACCUGCGUUGUAUUAGCUAGGUGGUGGGGUAACGGCUCACCAAGGCGACGAUACAUAGCCGACCUGAGAGGGUGAUCGGCCACACUGGGACUGAGACACGGCCCAGACUCCUACGGGAGGCAGCAGUAGGGAAUCUGCGGCAAUGGACGGAAGUCUGACCGAGCAACGCCGCGUGAGUGAAGAAGGUUUUCGGAUCGUAAAGCUCUGUUGUAAGAGAAGAACGAGUGUGAGAGUGGAAAGUUCACACUGUGACGGUAUCUUACCAGAAGGGGACGGCUAACUACGUG